GUGAAUCAUCAAAUUUUUGAACGCAAAUUGCACUCUCUGGUAUUCCGGGGAAUAUGCCUGUUUGAGGGUCAGUCUAUAAAAAAUCGACAUCGUUGCUGUUUCGCGGUGGCGUCCGUCGGAAAUUGGGUCAUCUUAAAUCCUUUUGAUUUAAGCGACUUAUGAUUUUCUUUUGGUUCCAUGAACGUUUCUACGAUCUAUUUCUUUACACGUUUAAGGUAUCGAUUUUUACUAGACUUGACCAUCAUAUCGGAUCGCGUCCAGAAUCAUUCAUU
rnacentral:misc_RNA from 1 species